rnacentral:rRNA from 1 species
GACGAACGCUGGCGGCGUGCUUAACACAUGCAAGUCGAACGGUUAAAGCCCCCUUCGGGGGGUGUAUAAAGUGGCGAACGGGUGAGUAACACGUGGGCAAUCUGCCUCGAGGACUGGAUAACUGCGGGAAACCGCAGCUAAUACCGGAUAACAACGAAGUGUCGCAUGGCACAUCGUUCAAACAGUCCGCUGCCUCGAGAUGAGCCCGCGGCCCAUUAGCUUGUUGGUAGGGUAACGGCCUACCAAGGCUGCGAUGGGUAGCCGACCUGAGAGGGUGACCGGCCACAUUGGGACUGAGACACGGCCCAGGCGACUAUGGGAGGCAGCAGUGGGGAAUUUUGCGCAAUGGGGGAAACCCUGACGCAGCAACGCCGCGUGCGGGAUGACGGCCUUCGGGUUGUAAACCGCUGUCAGGAGGGACGAAGCGAAAGUGACGGUACCUCCAGAGGAAGCCCCGGCUAAUUACGUGCCAGCAGCCGCGGUAA